CCCAGCCCUGACAGGCUGGGCUGAGAUAUGUCGCCCCGUUGGGGCU
rnacentral:sRNA from 1 species